AUGAAGGAGGAGAUUGGAAGGUCCUGCGGCUGCGGGGACAGAUUUUGGGGCAAGUUCGAUCUUCCCGUGGGAGACCGGACCCACAAAACAUGGCUGCGUGAGAUUAAUCAUUCGCACGUCGAUCGAUCGAUCGCCCUACCCAGGGCCAGGGGAGGGAUCCGCCGCCGCCAUCUAGGUCUCCACCAUAGCUCCCGCCGCCGUCCCCCGGCCGGCCCCAACACCUUCUCUUCCUCCGCUAGCGCUAGGUACCAAUCGACGCAGCUGGGAGGUGGCCUCUCUAGCUGUCCAGGCCCGGCCGUCCCUGCUUUGCAUGUGUACGUUUGUGAUUUCUUCCACCUUGAUUGCAGGGUACGUGCGUGA
rnacentral:rRNA from 1 species